UCUUCCCCCAAGCAUCACAGUUGAGGCUUGAGUUAGGCUGCUUAAGUCUUCACACUGUCAAGAGUUAAAAGCUUUCCUUUAUGAAAGGAGAACUCAAAAGAGGGUAUGGGGAGAGAAGAGGCACAGGGGGUAGAAAUGAAUAAGAACAAAGGUAAUUUCAGGAGCGCGAUUCUUAACCCUUUCUUCGGAAGAUGAAAACUCAAAAUAGGACGUAAGAAGCCAAAGCCAGAGACAGCCCGAGUGAAGGAGAUGCUUGGAAGAGUCUGCACUUCGUCGGCGUUUCAACUAAAUCCCAAGUGAAGCUUCCAUCUGACAGCACUCUCUUUGCCCACUUUCCACAUCCCAGCACACCCCACACCCCACACCCCAUCCCAAAUGUUCAGUGCCAAGCUUUGGCUCUCUUUGACUCCCCCCUACGGCUUUCCUGUUCUACAAGCAAAGCCUGUUGGCUCUGCCUUUCAAAUGUCACAGGAAUCUAAGUACUUGCCACCACCUUCUUUGGCUAACCCUGGUCCUCUGUGACAUCAUCUCAAGCGUGUUCUGUGACAAGAGUUCUCUAAGGUUUCUCUGUUCCAAUAUUGUCCCCACUUCCACAGGCUUUCUAUCUCAUUGGAAGAAAGAGAAAAGAACUUAUAAUGGUGGGGAAAGUCCCACGUGAAUGGCACACUCCAUCCUCGGCCCUCAUCUACAUCACUUACUGAUGGUACUCAGCCAUCCUGGCCUCGUGCUUGUUUCUACAUCCAUAACAAAUCUGUCCAUCCUCGAAUCUGCUGAGCUGAUCUUUUCUUCAAUCAGCUUUUCCUAAUCUUUACUCAGUACCAUUUUCUCAGUAUAGUCUUCUCUGGCUGCAUGAUUUGAAAUGCACCCCCCUGGGCAGGCUGGCUGGGGGCUCCUAAGCCUGCUGAACUGAGUUCAAUCCUUAGAUACCAUAGGGCAGAAAAGGAGGACUGCCUUCUACAAGUUGUCCCUUGAUUUCCACAAGUGAGGAGGGCACACAUGUGCAUGAGCACUUGUAUACACACACACAUACACACACACUCACACAAACACAAAAACACAUUUAUACACACACUAAACAGAUAUAUAAUUGUAAUAAAACAAAAUAAAUCUUUUAGCACUUCCCCAGUUUUAUUGAAUUUUUUUUUCUUUUGGCACUUAUUUCAAUUUUUAAAAAAAAAUCAAUUCUCUUCUUCACUUCUAGAACACAAGCCUCCUAAAGCAGGCAUUAUGAACCACUUUGUUCAUUAUUCCAGCCCCCAAACUUACACCACUCUUGCCAUAUUCGAUACCUUCAAUAAUCACAGCCCCUGGACUGUGACGUUCUCUGCCUAAUUUCUAUACUUUAGAGUCCCUGGUGGAUUUGCCAGAGGAGAGGACUAGCCAUUGUUUCACAAAAUUCCCUACUAGCCUGGAACAUAGAAUCCAGUGCCCUGCUACCAUGGGUGAAAGAUGCAGUUGUGUGGUCUUACUUCUGGAGCAUCCUUAUUCUUCUUAAGUUUUUAAAGUUUUUUUUAAGUGAUUUGGCAGAAAACUGUCUUAUAUCUCUACCUAAAAGCAUGGUGAUGGCAGGGGGCUGUAGUUUGACUGUGAACUCAAGACAAAUCUAGCGACAAUAGACACACUGCUGUCCACCUCCAUCUAAUUCAAGGGGCAGAAAUGGAGGAAUCUGAAAGCGUCAGUCCAGAUGGCUAAGAAAGGACUUCUUUUCUACUGCUGUGGUGGCUCCUGAACAUCCGCCAAGUCUUCAAGGGGUCAGAUGUGUGUUGACGCCCCAUGCUGAGGUUAUUUAUUAAUUUGUUUUUCACAAAAGGCAGGGUUGGGGUCACUAUAAAGAGAAGGAGAUUGUUUGCUCCUGUUUAGAUUACACUUGUUGUUUCUGGUGAAAAUUAAUUUUCUCUUUGGAAAAGUGUGCUUGCUUCCUAGGGAAUCAUGGAGAAGGUGAGAUUCCUCUCUCCAGUUAAAAGCACAAGAUGGACUGAAAUACUGUAUUUCCCUGCCUGGUCUCUGGAUGGAAUUGACAAUGCCUGUGCUUUGGGGGCUGUGCAUGAGCCUGUUGCCCUUUCUACUUAUAGCAUAGUCAACUAUUUUAAUUCUACCUCUUUGUUAAUUUUAAAUUUUGGCAACCAUGUUGAUUGAAGAGUACUGCAUACUUUAUGGGAAUAACAAAGAGAUAACAAUGACAUUUGUCUUCAGCUUUUAAGAGUGGACUGAGAUUGUGUAGAAAUACCAGAAAGAAAAUGGCUUACCUUCUGUGUAUUCAACUGAACUGACACACAAUAAAGGCUGGGGUGGUCACCAGGACUGCCACAAAAAGAGAGGAGAGGGGGAGCAAAGCCUUAUUUUAUCCACAAACAUGCAAGCUCAGUCUUUUAGAGGGACAGAUGACAAAUCAUAAUGAAGCAAAUAAUAAUGCUUAAAAGUGUUCAUUGGCCAUGGGCAGUGAGCAAGGGGCUCUCUAACUUAGAGGGAAGAUGAUAGACUUCUCAGGAAUUGGCCAAGGAAGAGAAGUCAGAAAAGAACAUACAAGUGGGUCUUCCUUAAAUGAGUAGCUUUCAACUUUUCUGCAUCCUCGAAAGUCCUGAGACGAUUUUAUGUAUCUUGUUCUCAUGUUAUCACACAUUAAUGAAAAAUUGAAAAAAAAGAAUCACAAAGAUAAUAACAAGUGUAAGAAGGUCGGUAGGGUAGAUAAUGGGUAUCAAAACACAGAUGGGCAGUAAGUAAGUCAUUUUUUUUUUUUUUUUUUUUUGCAUAGUAAUCCAGGACAGAUGUGGUAGAGAACAGCUAAUUAUACAUUUCAAGAUGACUACAAGAGCAGGGUUCCAAGAUUCCAACACACAGAAAUGAUUCUACUUGAGGAGGCAGAGAUGGUAAUUAUCCUUAUUAGAUCAUUAAAUUCUGUACACAUGUACUCAGUUACAACACUACCCACAAAUAAGUAAAGAUAAGUGCAACUGAAAAAUAAAAUGGAAGAAAUCUUACACCACAUGGAACAUCUCUUUAGAGUAGCUGCAGCCCUGGGCUUUGUUGUGGGUGAGAACAGCUUCAAGAGAGGUAGACAAGUUCUACACAUAGGAGCUGGAAUAAACGGAAAACUGCAAACAGAAUGACUAGUUAAUGUACACCAUAGAAAAGUUUUUGGUAGGAAGAAAAUAAAACAGAAUAAUAUGAUAAUUCAUAUCUUUUUAUUCAUUAAGCAUGUAUGUAUUUAUUAGUAUUUUAAGAAAUAUCAGAAAACAAAAUUUAUUGUAUAAGUCUGAACUAAGAAAAUAAUGUAUGGACUUUCAAGAUAACAGUGAAACCUUAAAUUGGGGAUUAGUGUCUUUUUGGAGAGCUUUUAUUAUCAUUUUAUGUAAUUUAGAAGAGUAAUAUACAACAAACUUAAUAUUUUAUGGUAUGCAUUAAAGUAUUGAUUUUUGCCUGACAACACAGUGGUUGUCUAAUUUUUUAAUGUAACACAAUAUUACAGAAGGGAUUAUUAAGCACAUGAUUUAAAGCCUUUGAAGAUAGUUAAAAAUAAUUAUCUUCUAGAAGUUAUCCUAUUUCCAUGCAAAACAAACCUUGUUAAUUUAUCUGCUUUCUC